AGGGAACGCUGGCGGUAGGCCUAACACAUGCAAGUCGAACGGAAGCACAGUAAGAGCUUGCUCUUACGGGUGGCGAGUGGCGGACGGGUGAGGAAUACAUCGGAAUCUACUUUUUCGUGGGGGAUAACGUAGGGAAACUUACGCUAAUACCGCAUACGACCUACGGGUGAAAGCAGGGGAUCUUCGGACCUUGCGCGACUGAAUGAGCCGAUGUCGGAUUAGCUAGUUGGCGGGGUAAAGGCCCACCAAGGCGACGAUCCGUAGCUGGUCUGAGAGGAUGAUCAGCCACACUGGAACUGAGACACGGUCCAGACUCCUACGGGAGGCAGCAGUGGGGAAUAUUGGACAAUGGGCGCAAGCCUGAUCCAGCCAUACCGCGUGGGUGAAGAAGGCCUUCGGGUUGUAAAGCCCUUUUGUUGGGAAAGAAAAGCAGCAGGUUAAUACCCCGCUGUUCUGACGGUACCCAAAGAAUAAGCACCGGCUAACUUCGUG
rnacentral:rRNA from 1 species